rnacentral:rRNA from 1 species
AGUGAACGCUGGCGGUGGGCCUAACACAUGCAAGUCGAACGGCCGCACAGUAAGAGCUUGCUCUUACGGGUGGCGAGUGGCGGACGGGUGAGGAAUACAUCGGCAUCUACUUUUUCGUGGGGGAUAACGUAGGGCAACUUACGCUAACACCGCAUAUGUCCUACGGGAGAAAGCAAGGGUUCUUCGGACCUUGCGCGAUUGAUUGAGCCGAUGUCGGAUUAGCUAGUUGGCGGGGUAAAGGCACACCAAGGCGACGAUCCGUAGCUGGUCUGAGAGGAUGAUCAGCCACACUGGAACUGAGACACGGUCCAGACUCCUACGGGAGGCAGCAGUGGGGAAUAUUGGACAAUGGGCGCAAGCCUGAUGCAGCCAUGCCGCGUGAGUGAAGAAGGCCUUCGGGUUGUAAAGCCCUUUUGUUGGGAAAGAAAAGCAGCAGGUGAAUACCCCGCUGUUCUGACGGUACCCAAAGAAUAAGCACCGGCUAACUUCGUG